GAAAUGCGAUACGUAAUGUGAAUUGCAGAAUUCAGUGAAUCAUCGAAUCUUUGAACGCACCUUGCGCCCCUUGGCACUCCGAGGGGCACACCCGUUUGAGUGUCGUGAAAUCAUCAAAAACCUUUCUUUGAACCUUUUUGGUCAGGGAAAAGGAUUUUUGGACUUGGAGGUCCCAUGCUUGCUUUCACCUUUGAAAGCAAGCUCCUCCCAAAUGAAUUAGUGGGGUCUGCUUUGCUGAUCCUUGACGUGAUAAGAUGUUUCUACGUUUUGGAUUUAGCACUGUCCAUUGGACACCUGCUCCUAAUCGUCCCUUGGGACGUUGAUGGUGCUUCGGUCACCGCCACCUACGUUGGUGGAAGGCUGAGCCCACACAAAACCCUUGACCUCAAAUCGGGUGAGACUACCCGCUGAACUUAA
rnacentral:rRNA from 1 species